ACUGUAUUGCAAUCAAUAACUCGUUGGACCUAUAAUCCAAAGGUCGUGGGUUCGAACCCUACCUUAGAUG